ACCUGGUUGAUCCUGCCAGUGGGCAUAUGCUCGUUUCAAAGAUUAAGCCAUGCAUGUCUUAGUUCAUACCUAGUAAAUGUGAGACUGCGAAAGGCUCAGUAUAUCAGUUAUAGUUUAUUCGAUUGUGAAAUCCACUGGAUAACCGUGGAAAAUCUAGAGCUAACACAUGCGAAAAAUGACUGUUCUCCCUCGGGGGUUCAGUUAUGCAUUUAUUAGUUUAGAACCAAUCUUGUUGGGGCUUGCCCUGGCUUGUAGUGGUGACUCUGAAUAACUGUGCCGAUCGUAUGGCCUUGAGCCGGCGACGUUUCGAUUAAAUUUCUGCCCUAUCAAUUUGUUGGUAAGGUCGUGGCUUACCAAGAUAAUUACGGGUAACGGGGAAUCAGGGUUCGAUUCCGGAGAGGGAGCCUGAGAAACGGCUACCACAUCCAAGGAAGGCAGCAGGCGCGCAAAUUACCCAAUCCAAACAUUGGGAGGUGGUGACGAGAAAUACCAGGUCGUUCCCACAAGGAUUCGAUACUGGAAUGAAUGUAAUGUAAAAAAUUCAAUGAGUAGCAACUGGAGGGCAAGUCUGGUGCCAGCAGCCGCGGUAAUUCCAGCUCCAGUAGUGUAUCCCAAAGUUGCUGCGGUUAAAACGCUCGUAGUUGGACAAUAGAGUAAUUUGGUGCAGGCGGGAGAUAAUUACUAAUGGCUUGUUGCUUUCUUUACGGAUUGUGACAGUUGUUUUGUAGAUACUUUUUCGACCUUGCAGCUGAAUUGCUUAGAUUAUUUUGUGAGGACAUUUUAUGGCCUUAAUUGUGCUGUACUAUGUAUCUUGCAUAACGUGCCUUGAAUAAAUCAGAGUGCUCAAAGCAAGCUUACGCUUGAAUGUUAAUAGCAUGGAACGAAUGUUUUGUGAAUGCAAUGCUGGGGGUCCUCGGGCUCUUAGUAUUGUAGCACCAACCGCGAAGCAGAGCAUUGGUUGCUGUCUUCGGGUGAUGAUUAAGAGGGGCAUUUGGGGGCAUUAGUAUUUGGACGCGAGAGGUGAAAUUCUUGGACCGUCCAAGGACUAACAAGUGCGAAAGCAUUUGCCAAGUUUGUUCCCUUUAAUCAAGAACGAAAGUGAGAGGAUCGAAGACGAUCAGAUACCGUCCUAGUUCUCACCGUAAACUAUGCCAACCCGGGAUCAGUUCGGAUUAUUAUAUUAGGAUCCAGGUUGGUCCCCCUGGGAAACCUUGAGUUUUUAGGUUCCGGGGGGAGUAUGGUUGCAAGGCUGAAACUUAAAGGAAUUGACGGAAGGGCACCACCAGGAGUGGAGCCUGCGGCUUAAUUUGACUCAACACGGGAAAACUCACCUGGUCCGGACAUCGAUAGGAUUGACAGACUAAUAGAUCUUUCAUGAUACGGUGGGUGGUGGUGCAUGGCCGUUCUUAGUUCGUGGAGUGAUCUGUCAGGUUGAUUCCGGUAACGAACGAGACCACGAUCUCCAUUUGGGUGUUUAUAAGCCAGAUAAUAGUGGGUGUGUUUAACUCGUUAGGCAUGUCUACGUUUAUAUGUUUUAUGGUGUGCGCGCAGCAAUGUGUGCUCCUAUGGAGAGACAGCCGGAUUCUAACCCGGAGGAAGCGUGGCAAUAACAGGUCUGUGAUGCCCUUCGAUGUUCAGGGCUGCACGCGCGCUACAAUGAUAACGACAACGAGUAUCUGGACUGAAAAGUUCUGGGGAAUCUUGUAAAUCGUUAUCGUGAUGGGGAUUGAGCAUUGUAAUUAUGCUCAUGAAAGAGGAAUUCCUUGUAUCUGCAACUCAUUCAGGUUGCAAAGAAUCAGUCCCUGCCCUUUGUACACACCGCCCGUCGCUACUACCGAGUGAAUGGUGUCAUGAUGUCUUGGGACUGGACGUUGAUGGUGGUGAAAGCCACGGUUGACGCUAGGAGCAAGACAAAAUGGCCCUAUUUCGAGGAAGUAAAAGUCGUAACAAGGUUUCCGUAGGUGAACCAGCGGAAG
rnacentral:rRNA from 1 species